rnacentral:rRNA from 1 species
CCUACGGGAGGCAGCAGUGGGGAAUUUUGGACAAUGGGGGCAACCCUGAUCCAGCAAUGCCGCGUGUGUGAAGAAGGCCUUCGGGUUGUAAAGCACUUUUGUCCGGAAAGAAAUCGCGCUGGUUAAUACCUGGCGUGGAUGACGGUACCGGAAGAAUAAGCACCGGCUAACUACGUGCCAGCAGCCGCGGUAAUACGUAGGGUGCGAGCGUUAAUCGGAAUUACUGGGCGUAAAGCGUGCGCAGGCGGUUUGCUAAGACCGAUGUGAAAUCCCCGGGCUCAACCUGGGAACUGCAUUGGUGACUGGCAGGCUAGAGUAUGGCAGAGGGGGGUAGAAUUCCACGUGUAGCAGUGAAAUGCGUAGAGAUGUGGAGGAAUACCGAUGGCGAAGGCAGCCCCCUGGGCCAAUACUGACGCUCAUGCACGAAAGCGUGGGGAGCAAACAGGAUUAGAUACCCUGGUAGUCCACGCCCUAAACGAUGUCAACUAGUUGUUGGGGAUUCAUUUCCUUAGUAACGUAGCUAACGCGUGAAGUUGACCGCCUGGGGAGUACGGUCGCAAGAUUAAAACUCAAA